UACGUAGGGUGCAAGCGUUAAUCGGAAUUACUGGGCGUAAAGCGUGACGCAGGCGGUGAUGUAAGACAGGUGUGAAAUCCCCAGGCUUAACCUGGGAACUGCAUCCGAUACUGGAUGGCUUGAAUCCGGGAGAGGGAUGCAGAAUUCCAGGUGUAGCGGUGAAAUGCGUAGAUAUCUGGAGGAAUACCGGUGGCGAAGGCGGCAUCCUGGACCGGCAUU
rnacentral:rRNA from 1 species